UACGUAGGGUGCGAGCGUUGUCCGGAAUUACUGGGCGUAAAGCGUAUGCAGGCGGAUCGUUAAGUCGGGGGUGAAAUCCCGAGGCUCAACCUCGGAACUGCCUUCGAUACUGGCGAUCUUCGAGUCCGGGAGAGGUGAGUGGAACUCCGAGUGUAGAGGUGAAAUUCGUAGAUAUUCGGAAGAACACCAGUGGCGAAGGCGGCUCACUGGCCCGGUACUGACGCUGAGGUGCGAAAGCGUGGGGAGCAAACAGG
rnacentral:rRNA from 1 species